GCUCCCGUGGCGCAAUGGUAGCGCGCAAGACUUCUACAUGAGUCUUCUGGCUCUUUUCUGGCUGAUAAAUUAGUCUGAAAAUAUAUGUAAAUCUUGAGGCUGCGGGUUCGAGCCCCGCCGGGAGCU
rfam:Aspergillus ruber CBS 135680 unplaced genomic scaffold scaffold00016, whole genome shotgun sequence.